UACAGAGGUGCCAAGCGUUGUUCGGAUUUAUUGGGCGUAAAGGGUGCGUAGGCGGCCAUACAAGUCGGGUGUGAAAUCCCGGAGCUUAACUCCGGAAUGGCAUUCGAAACUGUAUGGCUCGAGAUCUGGAGAGGUGAUUGGAAUUCUCGGUGUAGAGUGAAAUGCGUAGAUAUCGAGAGGAACACCAGAGGCGAAAGCGAAUCACUGGACAGUAUCUGACGCUGAGGCACGAAAGCUAGGGGAGCAAACGGG
rnacentral:rRNA from 1 species